UCGUGCUAGACGGGGAGCUAGCGGUGCCCUGUAACCCGAAAACCGCUUAUGCGGGGUUGAAUUCCCGCCCGAGCGUUGCAGCGCAGUCGGGGGCGGCGGCCAGACGGGCGGAUUGGACCCCACGCAACAGACGCUGGUGAACCCCGUCAGGUCCGGAAGGAAGCAGCGGUAAGCCAGGCAGUUUGUGUCGUGGCCGCGUCUAAUCCUUCACCCCCUGGCUUCCUCUUCGAGCUGUGGCGGAUGCAAAGGCGGGUGCACGG
rnacentral:SRP_RNA from 1 species